rnacentral:tRNA from 1 species
GGAUUGUGGCUCAGCGGUAGCGCGCUCGCCUGGCAUACGUGAGACACUGGGUUCGAUCCUCAGCACCA